GUAAAUCUUUUGUUAUAUUUUACGUAUCUUAUUUCAUUAUUUUCAUCGAAAUCCAUUUUCUUCGUGUGGCUAAUUUUAUCACCGUCUUUCAAAUUAAAUCAUGCAUUACGAGUACCUGCCACCCAACAUAACAUCAUUAAAACUGACUCAUUUCAGGACUUAAGAAAAUAUUUAGAAGUGUUUUAAUACAUUUUAAUACGUUUAGGACUUCUAGCUAGUUAACAUAACGAAUUUGGGAUAAUAAAUAUUUAAAAUUAGGAAAGAAGAAAUAUGAUACAAAUAAGAUGGUUUCGAUUUUCACAUUCACGAGUAUACGUUGUUUAUUUCAACUGGAAUGGAUUGAAAAAAGAAUCAACAGAAAUUAACAGUUGUAUAUAUCCCAUCUCAAAUACGGACUUCUUUUUUAAGUGUGACCAUAGAUUUUACUGUUGACCUUUUUGACGAACUGUUUUGCGAGGCAUCUUAAAGCAAAAUAUCAUGUUCUUUAACAUGGUUAUUAUGCGUGAAUCGUUUUAUAUUAAAGCAUCUUAACUAAACCAGUUGCAUAGAGACUGUAGAACAUGUCCAUAAUGGCAUUAUAUGAAAAUAUUAUUGCAUGUAUAAAAAGUCAGUAAAAUCAUUGUGCCGGUAUAAAAUAAAAAAAGUUCAAUUUCCCUGAGGGGAAAACAGCAGUAGACUUCAGAGAUUUUUUUUAUUUGCAAGCGCUCAAUGUUCAAUUGUACAUAUCUUCAGGCAGUUACAUUUUAAAAUAGUGCAAUGGUGCAUCGUCAUAACAAAAAACACGGGAAAAUUGCGGCAAACUUCACGAAAAAUAAUGUAAAAUGCACUUCAAGAAUACCCCUGUGCACACGCACAAAACUUUUGAAGCAGAUAGAAACAGAUACCGUACCAUUUAAAAAGGGAGAUAAUAACAGUUAUUUAAACACAUUUUGCAUGUAUAUAUAUUUAGUCCAACCCGGCAAACUGGCAUAUAGGGCCAAUAUCGGCCAACCGAUAUAUCUGUCCAUCAUAUUGGCCUGACAGACAUCAAUUACCAACCGCUAUCUGUCUGAAAUAAUAUUGGGCCGCUAAAAUGUCUGCUUUGCAAAACUGCAUGAUAUCGAGUUAGCUAGGCUAGGGGAGGAUACUCGCCCGAUUACAUUAAGUCUGGCUAAGGCGUAGUUAGUACUUUGACUCCUAACAGUAGAGAUUUUCAACUUACUUCGACGCGGACUGCGGACAGCGGACUGCGUACUUACAGUAGGGGUUUUCUCAAAAUACUUAAAGGUUCGCAAGAAAGAAGGGGGCCUCCGUGGCCGAGUGGUUAAGGUCGCCGACUUCAAAUCACUUGCCUUUCAUCGAUGUGGGUUCGAGCCUCACUCGGGGCGUUGAGUUCUUCAUGUGAGGAAGCCAACCAGCUGGCUUACAGAAGGUCGGUGGUUCUACCCAUGUGCCCGCUCGUGAGGAAAUAAUGGACGGAGGGGCAACUGGAGUCUUCCUCCACCAUCAAUGCUGGAAAGUCGCCAUUUAUGACCUAUAAUUGUGUCGGUGCAACGUUAAAUCCAACAAAUAAAAUAAAUGAUAUUUCGAGACAUUUCUGGCGUUAGUUAUCGUCCGCACGACUCAAACGACACGACAUGUGAAGUUUCGAACCAUAUGUACUACUAUAUACGAUAAUACUUUACAUUAAUAUGUUCAUACAUUAAACAAAUACAACUUGAAACAUGGAUUUGAAGAUAUAGGCAAUUUCUGGUUUUAAUUUGUGUCCCUCCAUACGGAUUCCUAAAAUUGUUUUUUCCUAGCACAAAAUAAGAAACAAACGCAGUACAGAGUACAAAAUAAUAUUGUAAAAAAAUAACUAAACAUUCUGAAUAAAAUGAACGUUCCGUUUAAUUUUUGUUGCAUAGUAUAUGUACUGUAUUCUCGUAGACUUCUAUACGAAAAUGGUCAUUGUUUUUCAUUAAUUCUGAUGAUUGUAUCUAAGUUUUCAUAAAAUAGACGUUUUAAUGAAAUAUCUUAAAUAAUUUAGUUCAACACUGUCUGAGCAUACAGGAAGUUACCUUUCAUCUCCGUCGAAGCGAUAUCCGAUAAAUUACCAUAAUUUAGCGAAAACAUCCUGAAUUAUUUAUGUAUCAGCAUGUUUGAAAAUAAAAAAAAGGAAAUAGCCACUUCGUAUUUUCAUAAUCUAAUAUCAGAAUUGCAUGUUAAAAUUUAAGUUUUAAAUUCAUGCCUAUUUUCUAGAGACUAUUCAGUAUGGACUGUCAGUCUCAGCUAGAAUUUAAUUUUUAUGUACCAUUAAAACUAGCUGUCAAAAUUUCAAUCUAAAACCCAGCGGAGACCGAAAAUUGUUUUGUGAACAUGGGGCCUGGGAAGCGUCCAAGGUCAAAAUUCCAAUCAUAUCCCAAAAAUGUUUUAUGGCCAGUACAUGCAUAGAAUUGUCAACGAAAUUAUAUUUUUGACUAAGCCAACUCCAAUGACACCAUUUGAGCAAUAGUGUGGUCAUUUGAUACAUCCAGCUUAGUAGUCAAGACUAGCCUUUUAACAUAAUUGACCGAAAGCUUUUUUUUAACACAUGCAUAUAUGGUUUGUGUAGAUACUUUGCUUCAGGAAAAAACAGUAGUCGAAACAUUUGAAUAAAUACAUUAAUCAAAAAAGGGUAUAAAAGGUAAAAGGAUAUUUAAAAAAAAUAUACCCACGCUGUUAAGAAUGCUUGUAAGGCCAAAUAUAUCGGAAUUCAUACAUACAAUAAAACGGAAAUUAAUAAAUCUUAUCACUGUAUUUUCUCAGAUAUUUUAAAUGGAAACAGUAUUACGGCAUUAGAACCGGAUGCUAAAUAUGUCACUGUUCAGUUAUGCGUGAAUAACUUAUAUACAGUUUGAGAAAACCCCUAAAGUAAGUCCGCAGUCCGUGGUCCGCAGUACGCGUCGAUGUAAGCUGAAAAUCUCUACUAGGAUGUCGUGUGGCCGAGUCUCGGGGAGACUUAACUGUGUAUUUGAGACCUAAUAUGGAUACACUGUUGAAAGCUCAAUACGUCUAAACAUUUUACUUGAUUCAGUUUCAGUGAUAUAAGAAGUUUUCUGAAGAUGCUUCAGAUAAUAAUUAGAAUAAAAUGCGUUUAUAAAAUAAUCCAUCGCAUCGUGCAGCGAAUAUACGCAUAUUUCUUGUUUCAUAUAAAUAUUUCUCUUCAUCACACGAUCUCCGCAUUUUGAAAAGAAAAUUGUUGUCGCGUAUCAUCUAACCGUGGUGUUGAAUUACAUAAUAAGCUCUAGCUUGAAUAGGUUUCCUAGGUAACUGAAAUACUAGUAUUUCAUUUACAUUGACAGUUAAUGAAGUCGUUUUGGGUAAUGUCAUGUUGAAAAUUUCGAUACAAAAUAGCUCUAGAAUGACAUUAUUGUGUAGUUGCAUAGUCAAAAAGCAUCAAGAAACCUUUUUUUAAAGAGAUGCUGGAUACAAAUCACUUACCUGUUAAACAUGCGCAUGUACAUGUUCUUCAGUUUUAAGGAUAAGUUAUGCCAGUUAUUAGUAAAUUUUGAUAAAAUGUCAGAUAGCUCUAAAUAGCAGUCAUUACACGAUCACUUUAUGUUUUUGUCAGCAUAUUGUACUGAAUACUGAUCGUUGCACUCUUUACAGAGUCUGUUGUACUUGAGCUAUACAUUGAAUACUAUAUGUACCUUAUAUUGACCACUGCACGUACAGUAUAGUGACUACUUUUAGCUGUAUACUGACUACAGUAUACGGAGCAUUAGCCAAAACGACUUUUAUGAAUUGUAUACCGAUCUCUAUGUACUUAAUAUCGACCUCUAUGUCUUGUAUAUUGACCAUUAUGUACUGUAUAUUGACCUCUAUGUGUUGUAUAUUGACCAUUAUGUAGUGUAUAUUGACCAUUAUGUACUGUAUAUCGAUCUCUAUGUACUGUAUAUUAACCAUUAUGUACUGUAUAUUGACCUCUACGUGCUGUAUCUUGACCAUUAUGUACUGUAUAUUGACCAUUAUGUACUGUAUAUUGACCUCUAUGUACUGUUUAUUGACCUCUGUGUGCUGUAUAUUAACCAUUAUAUACAGUAUAUUGAUCAUUAUGUACUGUAUAUUUACCUCUAUGUACUGUAUAUCGAUCUCUGUGUACUGUAUAUUAACCAUUAUAUACUGUAUAUUGACCAUUAUGUACUGUAUCUUGACCAUUAUCUACUGUAUAUUGACCAUUAUGUACAUUGACCAUUAUGUACAGUAUAUUGACCAUUAUGUACUGUAUAUUGACCUCUAUGUACUGUACAUAGACCUCUAUGUGCUGUAUAUUAACCAUUAUGUACUUUACCUCAAUGUACUGUAUAUCGACCGGUAUGUACUGUAUAUUAACCAUUAUGUAUUGUAUAUUGACAUCUAUGUACUGUAUGUUGACCUCUAUAUUAGCGACCAUUAUGUUUGUUUAUUGACAAUAGUGUACUGUAUAUCGAUCCCUAUGUAUUGUUAUUUCGACUCUAUGAGCUGUAUAUUUACUAUAUACUGUAUAUCGAUAUCUGUGAACUGUUUAUCUGUGUAUUGCAUAUCGAUAUCUGUGUACUGUUUAUCUUUGUAUUGUAUAUCGAUAUAUGUGUAUUGUUUAUCGACCACUAUGUACUACAUAUCAAUAUCUAUGUACGGUUUAUCGACCACUAUGUACUGUAUAUCGAUAUAUAUGUAUUGUAUACCAACCACUACAUACUGUAUAUCGAUAUCGGUAUACUAUUAUCGACCACGAUGUACUGUAUAUCGAUAUCUGUGUACUGUUACAGACCACUAUGUACUGCAUCAAUAUUUGUGUACUGUUUACCGACCACCAUGUACUGCAUAUCGAUAUCUGUGUACUGUUACAGGCCACUAUGUACUGUAUAGAUAUCUGUGUACUGUUUAUCGAACACUGUGUAUUGGAUAUCGAUAUCUAUGUAGCGUUUAUCGACCAGUAUGUAUUGCACAUCGACAUAUAUGUACAGUUUAUUGACCAGUAUGUACUGCAUAUCGAUAUCUAUGUACUGUAUAUUGACCACUAUGUUCUGUGUAUUGACCUCUAUGUACUAUCUGUAUCGCAUACUUUGUAUUGUAUAUAAUGUCUGCUAUAUACUGUAUUUCUAUAUUGAAUGCUGUCUGCUUUGUAUCAUAUAUUGCGCAGCAUGUAUUUAUACUCUCUACAAUGUAAAACAUAAUGCUGUCAUAUAGCCUACCGUAAACUGUUUGCCAUGCGCUCUUAUGUCAUGUACUUCAUGCACUGCUUACUGUGUACCAUAUAUUGUUCUUGUCUGCCACAUACUACAAAUACUGUAUGUCAUGUGCUAUAAAUCGCUUGUCAAGUAGUGUACUGCAAUAGUGUACUGCAAGUGCUGUAUGAACUGAUGAACUAUAUACUUUCUGACGUAACUACAUAUUAUACUGUCUGCCAGGUGCUAUGUCAUGUUCUGUAUACUGACUGCAAUGUACUGUUUACUGACUGCCAUGUACUUUUGCUGUCUUCCGUGUACUGUUGCUGUCUGUUGUAUAUUGUAUGCGUUGGUCUCUUUGUAUUGUAAAGGCCCUACUACUCACAAUUGCUGUGUAUGAACCUUUACGAUGCAUCUUGAGUAUAUACAUUUCAUAUUUUGUCGUCAUUGCUGUAAACUGUUGAACUGGUCGCCAUGCUAAUGCCUUACGUAUUGACAUCCUACACAAAAAGUUUCCAUUACGCUUUACGGUUGCUUUUUAUUGAUCAAGCCUAUAAUUAUAAACUGCGUAAUGUUGAAGCUAUGUGGAAUUUCACUUUCCCAACUUUUAAAGGAUAGUAAGCAAAUGGUAAGUCAAUCGUUUAAUCAGCGUGGACUAGGAAGUUGUCAAAUAAUGCAAAUAUAUCAGCCAGAUUUCUUGUAUCGUGAUCGCUAUUAGUGUAUUUCGUGAAUAAAUUAAGAGGAUUAUAGGCGGAUGUUAAUACUAUUCAUUUAUGAUAUAAAUGAAUAAAAUAUGGAAUAACAUCCUGUCUUAAGGAUGGUGCAGCAGUCAAAGUGGUGUAGUAAAUGACCUGUAGAUAUUUCCACUGUCGUUACUGAAGUAAAACGUCAAAAAUGCAGGGAAUGAUGGUGUACAGAUGAGACGGUUGUCUAUUGACGUUAUAUAGAACGCUUGAAGUACCUUGUUUGUAUCACAACAGAUAGGCAACUGAUGUCUUAGGGGAUGGUGAAGUGGACGUUAAAUAUGGCAGACGACGAGUUACUGUUUAAGGGGACUUGUGAAGUUUUUGAAUUGAAGAGGUGCAAUGAUGUGGAAGUUCUUGGGACACAGUUCAUAGACCCAUGUAGUUGUCGUAGUUAUUAUCAGUGUUCAAAUUAUCAAAUGUUGCACCAGACAUGCGCAGAAGGGACA